GCGAUCCCAGACGCGGUCCUACACACGAGGUGUCUUACUUGCCGGUCCAGCCUCGUCCGUCCGCCAUCGGACCAGUUCUCUGUCCACGGAAUCGCAGCGAGCGACUCGGUAAUGGCAAUAUGCAGCAUCAUCGGCGAGCCGUAAAAGCCGGCUUCCUCGGCCAGCCGGCCGACACGACUGUCGUACAGUUCGUGGCUGUAAUGGCUAUCGGGGCGCUGACGUAUGUCCAUCCAGUCGAUGCAGCGAGCGAUCGCGCCGCCGCAACCCAAGGCGCACGCGGCCGCCAACUCUUUUGAUGCCACCAACUCGCGCGAGCGCGCCAGCCGGCCCGUCGACCAUUGCUUGAGACGCUCAUCAUGCUCUCUGAGAGCCAUGGAUCUGCAGAGGAACAAGAGCGGCCGCAGAUCGGACAGACCCUCUUGGGUAGACUGUGGUGGCGGUGGCGUGACCACCUGUGCAACAGGGUCGUAGGUGGGGCUGUCAAUGUGCCGCUGGAGUUGGAGCGUGCCCGAGAAGGCCAUCAGACCGAGUCGUCUGGCAGUGCCCGCGGCAUCGUCGUCGCGUACCGCCUUGACGACGUGUGCAUAGUGGGUGCGUGAGCACUGUGCGAGUGAACCGAUAUCCCACGGACGAACAUGGGCAAGGACGGCCAAAAACAAGUCUGGGUGAUGCUUCCACAGACCCGCCAGCAGAUCGUCUUGAGGAUGAAGUGGUCGGGCCGCGACUGGACCAUGCGAGGCCUCUGGUUCAUGAGCGAGGUCGACCUCGUCACCGAUAAUGUCGAGGCUUUCCAACGCAAUGUCACGAGACGGAUCAGUCGGAUCGCCUAGGUAAAGGGCAAACUUUUGAAGCGGCACGUCGUCGUCCUCCAGGCCGAAUAAACUAGACCCAAUUGUGACAAAUCGAGUCAGCAGGCCAAGCAUGUAGAGGCGCAUCACGUCUGCCGCCCUGAUGUGUGUCGAUGGCACGGGCCAGCAUCAGACGGGUCUGGUCUAUCGAUUCACGCGGGUAGAUCGACCAUUCGGCCAUCUGCGCGUCAUGGUCCAACCUUGUCUCUCGCGCCGUGCACACGAUCGCUCGCGCCGGCCCACGGCACACGGCCAUGCAAUCAUGGUGCGGUGGCAGACCCUCGGCGGGUCUGGUCAGACCCUUUGCAAAUGCCUCGACGGCAGUCGUGGCGAUCUCCAUGCAGUCUUUCACUGGGAAUUGCGACGCCCAGCGCGGACCCCAUGUAUUGCUGGCGUACUCGGCCAGGGUGUGAGUGUGUUCUUUGGCGCGCCGUCCAAUCUCGGUGUGCGCGCGCUCCAACAGCGGCAUGGAACACAGUCGCCCGGCAGCAUAGGCAAUGUCGACGACGGGCAUCCACAUGUCAGUGUCGGCAAUGUCCACGACUGCCGAUGCGUCGGCGGGCCUCUCUGUGUAGGGAUGUCUGUUGUCAAUGUCGAGGAGCCACUCGGUGACGUGAGUGAGCGCCGUUCGCGCACGCACGCCCUCGCUCAGUCGGCUAUAGCAGCGCCCCAGGGCUUCGGCGCGUGAGGCGACUGCCAGGCAUCGGCUCACGCCAGUGUCGCCCUCUUUUAGCGUCGCCUCGACGAGCGUAUCGCGCAAAAGAAACACGCCGCGUCCGGCCGUGACUGUGGCAACGAGCGGUGCGGGCACGGACGACGGCUCGACAUCGGCAGUAGCCAGACAAAAGAUCGCUUCGGCGGCCUCUAUAGCCUCCUCGACUCGGCGCAGCCUGACACCAAAGGCCAAAGCCUGACCGUUUUCUUCCACGUCGUCCAUCGGCACAACGGGGGUCAAGUCGGCGCAAGUCGAGUCAAAGGGAGCAACACGACCCAUGUGCAUGGUCGAUGCGCCAUCUGCCGCCAAUGUCUCGGCGACAGCGGCGAGCCCCACAACCGCCACGCCUGCGGCUGGCUCAACAACUGUGGGCAAAACAUCAGGCGGGAUGAUUUCGCACGCCUCCAUGGCCUUUGUGGUGGUGAUGAUGCUAUCCCCUGGCACCGCCGUCGUGGGUCCUUGGCUUUUGUCGUGCUCCAUUUUGCUUUCGGCUCACGACAGCAAGUAAUGGCAUUGUGCAGUUCGAACCUUGCAGACGAUUGAUUUGGCCGCAACCAAGCCGACCCAUCCAGAAAAUUGCUUGGCCAAGGACGUCGAGCAGCACAACCGAUGCUGUGUCAACGGUCUGUUCUCCCAGUUUCCUACCAAUAAAAAUUCAAAGCACA
rnacentral:lncRNA from 1 species